UCUAAGAGAAAAAGAAAAAGAAAGGAGUGAACACGACUUAUAGCCCGAAGAUAGAUAUUUUGCUAAGAAAAGUAGGCGGUUGUGGCACCGUUGAGCAGAAAAGGGAGUCGUUUUGGAUGAAACUGAGGGCACACGUCAUAUGCUCGCGGCAGCUCCAGCAGGCUAAUGACCCUACACUCUUUUAUGUCCAGCGCUCCCAAUUUAAGAAUAAACUGACUCACAUUCGAACUAAAUCUUAAAAUAUGAUUCAUUGAUUUAAGACGACAGAGGGGGGAGUAGCCCUACACAUAUUCCACUAAAUAACAACAGUCAAAUUGUAUUUUAUUGGGCACUGGUCUCUUAAGUCAGCCAUUUGAGAUAGAAAUAUUACUAGAGAUAUAAAUGGAUGUUAGCCUCUUUGCUCGUAACUGACCUCAAUAGUUAAAGGUCCCAUAUCAUGCUCAUUUUCAGGUUCAUACUUGUGUUUUGUGUUUCUACUGAACAUGUUUACAUGCUUUAAUGUUCAAAAAACACUUUAUUUUUCUAAUACUGUCUGUCUGAAUAUACCCGUAUUCACUCUCUGUCUGAAACGCUCCGUUUUAGCGUCUGUCUUUUUAAGCUAACCUGACAUGCAAGAUUGUUUGUUUGUUUGUUUGUGUCCCAAACUUUUUGGGAGAGGGCAAAAAAAUGCCUGGCAGGUGAUUGGAUGAACCAUCUGUCUGUCACGUCUGCCAUUGUUGAUUUGAACCAUUUUGAACAAACAGCCGCCCCGUCACACACACACA